AAUUUUGCUUUCCAUUUAAUUGCAACCUUAAGCUAAUACAGAUAUUGCUUGUUUUUAGCUUUUCCUCUAGGUAUUCAGGUCAAGAAGAUAACAGAUCUGUUUAAAUGCUGUGAGAAAGCAGAGCUCCUCUGAAGAGCUUCGAAGAAUAGGAUCCCUUCAAGGCUGAAACUGCUGUUCUCAUCGGAUUGUAAGAGACUGGGACUUGAUAUAAAAUCUUCUGGAUGAUGUAAACAUUUUGAGAUUUUUCAGCAAGACAAUAAUCAUACAAGCCCCAUGAACCCGGAGGAACAGGCACAUCAAUCCUACUCUAGCACCGAAAACUCCAAGCAAGAGCAUUUCCUAGUUUCUCUACAGCCAAGCCCUGUCCUAUGGGGGAGUCAAAGUAGCAGGGCUGAGUAA
rnacentral:lncRNA from 1 species